rnacentral:rRNA from 1 species
GACGAACGCUGGCGGCGUGCUUAACACAUGCAAGUCGAACGGUGAAGGGAUCAGCUUGCUGGUUCUGGAUGAGUGGCGAACGGGUGAGUAACACGUGAGUAACCUGCCCCCUUCUUCUGGAUAACCGCAUGAAAGUGUGGCUAAUACGGGAUAUUCUGGGUCUGUCGCAUGAUGGGUCUGGGAAAGAUAUUGUUUCGGUGGGGGAUGGGCUCGCGGCCUAUCAGCUUGUUGGUGGGGUGAUGGCCUACCAAGGCGGUGACGGGUAGCCGGCCUGAGAGGGUGGACGGUCACACUGGGACUGGGACACGGCCCAGACUCCUACGGGAGGCAGCAGUGGGGAAUAGUGCACAAUGGGCGCAAGCCUGAUGCAGCGACGCCGCGUGAGGGAUGGAGGCCUUCGGGUUGUAAACCUCUUUCGCCAGUGAAGCAGGCCUGCUCCUUGUGGGUGGGUUGACGGUAGCUGGAGAAGAAGCGCCGGCUAACUACGUG